rnacentral:rRNA from 1 species
UUGAAGAGUUUGAUCAUGGCUCAGAUUGAACGCUGGCGGCAGGCCUAACACAUGCAAGUCGAACGGUAACAGGAAUCAGCUUGCUGAUUCGCUGACGAGUGGCGGACGGGUGAGUAAUGUCUGGGAAACUGCCUGAUGGAGGGGGAUAACUACUGGAAACGGUAGCUAAUACCGCAUAACGUCGCAAGACCAAAGAGGGGGACCUUCGGGCCUCUUGCCAUCGGAUGUGCCCAGAUGGGAUUAGCUUGUAGGUGGGGUAACGGCUCACCUAGGCGACGAUCCCUAGCUGGUCUGAGAGGAUGACCAGCCACACUGGAACUGAGACACGGUCCAGACUCCUACGGGAGGCAGCAGUGGGGAAUAUUGCACAAUGGGCGCAAGCCUGAUGCAGCCAUGCCGCGUGUAUGAAGAAGGCCUUCGGGUUGUAAAGUACUUUCAGCGGGGAGGAAGGGAGUAAAGUUAAUACCUUUGCUCAUUGACGUUACCCGCAGAAGAAGCACCGGCUAACUCCGUGCCAGCAGCCGCGGUAAUACGGAGGGUGCAAGCGUUAAUCGGAAUUACUGGGCGUAAAGCGCACGCAGGCGGUUUGUUAAGUCAGAUGUGAAAUCCCCGGGCUCAACCUGGGAACUGCAUCUGAUACUGGCAAGCUUGAGUCUCGUAGAGGGGGGUAGAAUUCCAGGUGUAGCGGUGAAAUGCGUAGAGAUCUGGAGGAAUACCGGUGGCGAAGGCGGCCCCCUGGACGAAGACUGACGCUCAGGUGCGAAAGCGUGGGGAGCAAACAGGAUUAGAUACCCUGGUAGUCCACGCCGUAAACGAUGUCGACUUGGAGGUUGUGCCCUUGAGGCGUGGCUUCCGGAGCUAACGCGUUAAGUCGACCGCCUGGGGAGUACGGCCGCAAGGUUAAAACUCAAAUGAAUUGACGGGGGCCCGCACAAGCGGUGGAGCAUGUGGUUUAAUUCGAUGCAACGCGAAGAACCUUACCUGGUCUUGACAUCCACGGAAGUUUUCAGAGAUGAGAAUGUGCCUUCGGGAACCGUGAGACAGGUGCUGCAUGGCUGUCGUCAGCUCGUGUUGUGAAAUGUUGGGUUAAGUCCCGCAACGAGCGCAACCCUUAUCCUUUGUUGCCAGCGGUCCGGCCGGGAACUCAAAGGAGACUGCCAGUGAUAAACUGGAGGAAGGUGGGGAUGACGUCAAGUCAUCAUGGCCCUUACGACCAGGGCUACACACGUGCUACAAUGGCGCAUACAAAGAGAAGCGACCUCGCGAGAGCAAGCGGACCUCAUAAAGUGCGUCGUAGUCCGGAUUGGAGUCUGCAACUCGACUCCAUGAAGUCGGAAUCGCUAGUAAUCGUGGAUCAGAAUGCCACGGUGAAUACGUUCCCGGGCCUUGUACACACCGCCCGUCACACCAUGGGAGUGGGUUGCAAAAGAAGUAGGUAGCUUAACCUUCGGGAGGGCGCUUACCACUUUGUGAUUCAUGACUGGGGUGAAGUCGUAACAAGGUAACCGUAGGGGAACCUGCGGUUGGAUCACCUCCUU